GAUGAACGCUGGCGGCGUGCUUAACACAUGCAAGUCGAACGAUGAAGCCCAGCUUGCUGGGUGGAUUAGUGGCGAACGGGUGAGUAACACGUGAGUAACCUGCCCUUAACUCUGGGAUAAGCCUGGGAAACUGGGUCUAAUACCGGAUAGGAGCGUCCACCGCAUGGUGGGUGUUGGAAAGAUUUAUCGGUUUUGGAUGGACUCGCGGCCUAUCAGCUUGUUGGUGAGGUAAUGACUCACCAAGGCGACGACGGGUAGCCGGCCUGAGAGGGUGACCGGCCACACUGGGACUGAGACACGGCCCAGACUCCUACGGGAGGCAGCAGUGGGGAAUAUUGCACAAUGGGCGCAAGCCUGAUGCAGCGACGCCGCGUGAGGGAUGACGACCUUCGGGUUGUAAACCUCUUUCAGUAGGGAAGAAGCGAAAGUGACGGUACCUGCAGAAGAAGCACCGGCUAACUACGUG
rnacentral:rRNA from 1 species